CUUGCUACCGCAUUCCGCGGCGGACGGGUGAGUAAUGCUUAGGAAUCUGCCUAUUACUGGGGGACAACGUUCCGAAAGGAGCGCUAAUACCGCAUACGUCCUACGGGAGAAAGCAGGGGACCUUUGGGCCUUGCGCUAAUAGAUGAGCCUAAGUCGGAUUAGCUAGUUGGUAGGGUAAAGGCCUACCAAGGCGACGAUCUGUAGCGGGUCUGAGAGGAUGAUCCGCCACACUGGGACUGAGACACGGUCCAGACCCCUACGGGAGGCAGCAGUGGGGAAUAUUGGACAAUGGGGGGAACCCUGAUCCAGCCAUGCCGCGUGUGUGAAGAAGGCCUUUUGGUUGUAAAGCACUUUAAGCGAGGAGGAGGCUACCUAGAUUAAUACUUUAGGAUAGUGGACGUUACUCGCAGAAUAAGCACCGGCUAACUCUGUGCCAGCAGCCCGCGGUAAUACAGAGGGUGCGAGCGUUAAUCGGAUUUACUGGGCGUAAAGCGUGCGUAGGCGGCCAAUUAAGUCAAAUGUGAAAUCCCCGAGCUUAACUUGGGAAUUGCAUUCGAUACUGGUUGGCUAGAGUAUGGGAGAGGAUGGUAGAAUUCCAGGUGUAGCGGUGAAAUGCGUAGAGAUCUGGAGGAAUACCGAUGGCGAAGGCAGCCAUCUGGCCUAAUACUGACGCUGAGGUACGAAAGCAUGGGGAGCAAACAGGAUUAGAUACCCUGGUAGUCCAUGCCGUAAACGAUGUCUACUAGCCGUUGGGGCCCUUGAGGCUUUAGUGGCGCAGCUAACGCGAUAAGUAGACCGCCUGGGGAGUACGGUCGCAAGACUAAAACUCAAAUGAAUUGACGGGGGCCCGCACAAGCGGUGGAGCAUGUGGUUUAAUUCGAUGCAACGCGAAGAACCUUACCUGGCCUUGACAUACAGAGAACUUUCCAGAGAUGGAUUGGUGCCUUCGGGAACUCUGAU
rnacentral:rRNA from 1 species